UGCGGAAGGAUCAUUAUUGAAUUAUGUUUUCUAGAUGGGUUGUAGCUGGCUCUUCGGAGCAUGUGCACGCCUGUCUGGACUUCAUUUUCAUCCACCUGUGCACUUUUUGUAGUCUUUUUCAGGUAUUGAAGGAAGUGGUCAGUUUAUCAGCCYUUGCUGGAUAUAAGGACUUGCAGUGUGUAAUCAGUGCUGUCCUUUACCCUUGACCAUGGAAUCUCUUUCCUGUCGGAGACUAUGUUAUUCAUUAUACUCUGUAGAAUGUCAUUGAAUGUCUUUACGUGGGCUUGUAUGCCUAUGAAAAUUAUUAUACAACUUUCAGCAACGGAUCUCUUGGCUCUCGCAUCGAUGAAGAACGCAGCGAAAUGCGAUAAGUAAUGUGAAUUGCAGAAUUCAGUGAAUCAUCGAAUCUUUGAACGCAUCUUGCGCUCCUUGGUAUUCCGAGGAGCAUGCCUGUUUGAGUGUCAUUAUAUUCUCAACUCCCUAAUACUUUGUUGUAAAGGAGAGCUUGGAUUGUGGAGGCUUGCUGGCCACUUGCUUGCGGUCAGCUCCUCUGAAAUGCAUUAGCAGAACCGUCUGCGAUCUGCCACAAGUGUGAUAAAUUAUCUACACUAGCGAGGGGAUUGCUUUCUGUGAUGUUCAGCUUCUAAUCGUCUUAGGACAAUUUCUUGAAUGCUUGACCUCAAAUCAGGUAGGACUACCCGCUGAACUUAA
rnacentral:rRNA from 1 species